rnacentral:rRNA from 1 species
GACGAACGCUGGCGGCGUGCCUAAUACAUGCAAGUCGAGCGGAAGUUGGAGAGCUUGCUCUUCAACUUUAGCGGCGGACGGGUGAGUAACACGUGGGCAACCUGCCCUGCAGAUCGGGAUAACUCCGGGAAACCGGCGCUAAUACCGAAUAGUUUUCGCCACCUCCUGGUGGCGUACGGAAAGACGGUUUCGGCUGUCACUGCAGGAUGGUCCCGCGGCGCAUUAGCUAGUUGGUGGGGUAACGGCCCACCAAGGCGACGAUGCGUAGCCGACCUGAGAGGGUGAUCGGCCACACUGGGACUGAGACACGGCCCAGACUCCUACGGGAGGUAGCAGUAGGGAAUCUUCCGCAAUGGACGAAAGUCUGACGGAGCAACGCCGCGUGAGUGACGAAGGUUUUCGGAUCGUAAAACUCUGUUGUGAGGGAAGAACAAGUACCAAUUAACUACUGGUACCUUGACGGUACCUCACCAGAAAGCCACGGCUAACUACGUGCCAGCCGCCGCCGUAAGAC